rnacentral:rRNA from 1 species
GUAAGAGCUCGUAGGCGGUUUGUCGCGUCUGGUGUGAAAACUCGAGGCUCAACCUCGAGCUUGCAUCGGGUACGGGCAGACUAGAGUGCGGGAGGGGAGACUGGAAUUCCUGGUGUAGCGGUGGAAUGCGCAGAUAUCAGGAGGAACACCGAUGGCGAAGGCAGGUCUCUGGGCCGCAACUGACGCUGAGGAGCGAAAGCAUGGGGAGCGAACAGGAUUAGAUACCCUGGUAGUCCAUGCCGUAAACGUUGGGCACUAGGUGUGGGGCUCAUUCCACGAGUUCCGUGCCGCAGCAAACGCAUUAAGUGCCCCGCCUGGGGAGUACGGCCGCAAGGCUAAAACUCAAAGGAAUUGACGGGGGCCCGCACAAGCGGCGGAGCAUGCGGAUUAAUUCGAUGCAACGCGAAGAACCUUACCAAGGCUUGACAUGCACGGGAAGCCACCAGAGAUGGUGGUCUCUUUGGACACUCGUGCACAGGUGGUGCAUGGUUGUCGUCAGCUCGUGUCGUGAGAUGUUGGGUUAAGUCCCGCAACGAGCGCAACCCUCGUCCCAUGUUGCCAGCGGGUUAUGCCGGGGACUCAUGGGAGACUGCCGGGGUCAACUCGGAGGAAGGUGGGGAUGACGUCAAAUCAUCAUGCCCCUUAUGUCUUGGGCUUCACGCAUGCUACAAUGGCCGGUACAAAGGGCUGCGAUACCGUAAGGUGGAGCGAAUCCCAAAAAGCCGGUCUCAGUUCGGAUUGGGGUCUGCAACUCGACCCCAUGAAGUCGGAGUCGCUAGUAAUCGCAGAUCAGCAACGCUGCGGUGAAUACGUUCCCGGGCCUUGUACACACCGCCCGUCAAGUCACGAAAGUCGGUAACACCCGAAGCUCAUGGCCCAACCGGGUUUACGGGGGGGAGUGGUCGAAGUGGUACUGGCGAUUGGGACGAAUCGUACAGGGUACCC